CAGUGCUUCCAAGCACUAUCAGCCCUGGGCUCUGUAAGCGCAGCUACAGAUAGUGAGGGGUGGGUCCAGUUCCCUCCACCAUCUCUUGACGCUCAGUUCCCGGCCGACCUUCAGUCAUGAAGAUCCUUUACUUGCUCUUUGCUGUUGUCUUCUUGGUGCUCAUGGAUGCCCCAGGUUUCUCCUAUGCUCUGUUGACCCAAAGAGGGUGUAGACGCAGAGGGGGUGAAUGUAACUUUUGGCGAUGUCCCAGCAAUGCUAUAUACCUUGACAAAUGCUAUUUUGGCCAUUGCUGUCGAAGGAGAGUGAUUGGCUGAUUGUCUAAGCAGGAUCUCAGGGAAUCGGGGAGACAGCCACUUGCUUCUAAAAUCAGCAGACCCUGCUUCAAUGGAACCCUGAACUCCUGCUGUUCAUUUGGGCUAUAAAGAACCUUGUGAGCUGGAGAAAUUUAAAAUGGAGCCCAUAUAAGAUUUGUUACUCUCCUUUGAAUAAAAGCAAGCUGG